rnacentral:ncRNA from 1 species
CGUGUUUUUUUUAAUUUACUUUAAAGUUUGAUUCUGGCUUUAGAAAAUCAAUAUUUGAUUUGUUUACAUGUAAAUUUUUGUUAGUUUAUUUUCUUAAUGUUUCUUUUUUAUUCUCAGUAAUUAACUUUGUUUUUUAAAUAACUUUAAAUUCAGAAAAUUAAUUUUUUAUUGACUAAAAUUAUGCCAGCAGUCGCGGUUAUAUAAUUGAUAAUUUUGAUUUCUUUUUUUUUUAUUUAUUGUUUUAAUUAAAAUAUUUUAAUUAUUCUUAGGUGAAAUUUGAAUUUUUAUUAUUUUUUUGGUUUAUGAUUAUAUAUGAAAGUUAGUUUUUAAACCAGGAUUAGAUACCCUGUUAUUCUAACUGUAAAAUUUUUUAAAAUUAUAAGUUAUGGUCUUUAAAUUAAAAGAAUUUGGCGGUAAUUUAAUCUUUUUAGAGGAACCUGUUUCGUAAUUGAUGAUCCACGAUUAUAUAAACUUUAUUUUUAUUUGUAUAUCGCUGUUUUGAGUGUUUUAUUAGAAUAUUCUCUUUUUUAUUAUUUAUUUUAUAUCAGGUCAAGAUGCAGUUAUAAUAAUGUGAUAAUGGGUUACAUUUAAUUUAUUAUUGGAUUAAUUAGUUUAAAAUUAUUUUGAAAUUGGAUUUAAAAGUAAAACGAUUAUUAUUAUUCUUUUGAUUUUUGCUCUAAUUUAUGCACAUAUCGCCCGUCACUCUCGCUUUAAGGUGAGAUAAGUCGUAACAAAGUUGGCUUACUGGAAAGUGGGCCAGGAUUUAUU